rnacentral:rRNA from 1 species
AACUCUAGAGCUAAUACAUGCAUCAAUCCCUGACUUCCUGGAAGGGGUGUACUUAUUAGAUGGAAACCAGUGCGGGUUCGCCCGGAUUAUGGUGAUUCAUAAUAAUUUUCGGAUCGAUCAAUUGAUCGAUGCAUCAUUCAAGUUUCUGCCCUAUCAGCUUUGGAUGGUAGGGUAUUGGCCUACCAUGGCAUUAACGGGUAACGGAGAAUUAGGGUUCGAUUCCGGAGAGGGCGCCUGAGAAACGGCGACCAGUUCCAAGGAAGGCAGCAGGCGCGUAAAUUACCCAAUCCUGACACAGGGAGGUAGUGACAAUAAAUAACAAUGUCGGGCCUUCGGGUUUGACAAUUGGAAUGAGAACAAUUUAAAUCCCUUAUCGAGGAUCAAUUGGAGGGCAAGUCUGGUGCCAGCAGCCGCGGUAAUUCCAGCUCCAAUAGCGUAUAUUUAAGUUGCUGCAGUUAAAAAGCUCGUAGUUGGAUUUCGGGUGGGGCCUGUCGGUCCGCCGUUUCGGUGUGCACUGACCGGGCCCACCUUGGUGCCGGGGACGGGCCCCUGGGCUUCACUGUCCGGGACCCGGAGUCGGCGAGGUUACUUUGAGUAAAUUAGAGUGUUCAAAGCAGGCCUACGCUCUGAAUACAUUAGCAUGGAAUAACACGAUAGGACUCUGGCCUAUCUUGUUGGUCUGUAGGACCGGAGUAAUGAUUAAGAGGGACAGUCGGGGGCAUUCGUAUUUCAUUGUCAGAGGUGAAAUUCUUGGAUUUAUGAAAGACGAACUACUGCGAAAGCAUUUG